rnacentral:tRNA from 1 species
GGAGGUGUAGCUCAGCAAGGCAGAGCAGCGGGCUUUUAAGCCCGGGGGGCACAGGUUCGAUUCCUGUCACCUCCACCA